rnacentral:rRNA from 1 species
UUGAGAACUUGUUUGAAUGGUUUGACGAGAUAACAAUGAAUAUUUGUGAUUUAAUUGAAAUUGGUGUUGAGGGGACAGGACCCUCAAUUGUGAAUUAGACGGAAAGACCCCGGGAUCUUUUGUUUUGCUUGGGGCAAGUUUUAAUGUUUUAUUUGAAUUGUGACCCUUCUUGAGUUUAUUGGGCUAAGUUACCCCGGGGAUAACAGUGUAAUAGUUAAUAAGAGAUCCUAUCGAGUUAACUGUUUGCCACCUCGAUGUUGACUUGAGUAGUGUAUGGGCGUAGCAGUUUGUACAUUAGGUCUGUUCGACCUUGAUACUUUCAUGAGUUGAGUUAAGACCGGCGUGAGCCAGGUCGGUUCUUAUCUAUUUAAGAAACUUAUUAGUACGAAAGGAUUGUAAGUUUUUUUAUUGAACACGAAGGUUUAAAAUUAGUUUUGCAAAAGCUGAUAAGGGCGCCCCGUGUUAUUUAAUUAUGGUAAGAGAAAGUAAGGAUGCUUAGCUGCAUAAAAGGGGUUUAGUUUGUAGAAAAAUAGUAUUAUUUGUGUUUAUUAGCAGUUAGUUUUUUAUUAGAAUGUAAAUUUGUUAAGAAGCUCCAGGUAUAGGGGAUAGGUCACAGUGCCAGCAUCUGCGGUUAGUCUGUUUUCUUUUCUUUUUUGUGGAUUGUUUUUGUGCAUUUAUAGGCAGGAUUGGGUAAAAUUAUACUGUUUUUAUAUUUAGUGCAUAGUAAUAAUUAUAUAUUGGGGUGCGACGAGGAUUAGAUACCCUCUUAGUUUAAUAUUAGAGUUG